AGUGGGGAAUCUUGGACAAUGGGCGCAAGCCUGAUCCAGCCAUGCCGCGUGAGUGAUGAAGGCCCUAGGGUCGUAAAGCUCUUUCGCCAGAGAUGAUAAUGACAGUAUCUGGUAAAGAAACCCCGGCUAACUCCGUGCCAGCAGCCGCGGUAAUACGGAGGGGGUUAGCGUUGUUCGGAAUUACUGGGCGUAAAGCGCACGUAGGCGGAUCAGAAAGUAUGAGGUGAAAUCCCGGGGCUCAACCCCGGAACUGCCUUGUAAACUCCUGGUCUUGAGUUCGAGAGAGGUGAGUGGAAUUCCGAGUGUAGAGGUGAAAUUCGUAGAUAUUCGGAGGAACACCAGUGGCGAAGGCGGCUCACUGGCUCGAUACUGACGCUGAGGUGCGAAAGUGUGGGGAGCA
rnacentral:rRNA from 1 species